GACGAACCGUGCGAACGUUAUUCGGAAUCAUUGGGCGUAAAGAGCGUGUAGGCGGUUCGGUAAGUCGGCUGUGAAAGUCCAGGGCUCAACCCUGGGAUGCCGGUCGAUACUGCCGGACUAGAGUUCGGAAGAGGCGAGUGGAAUUCCCGGUGUAGCGGUGAAAUGCGCAGAUAUCGGGAGGAACACCUAUGGCGAAGGCAGCUCGCUGGGACGUUACUGACGCUGAGACGCGAAAGCGUGGGGAGCAAUCAGG
rnacentral:rRNA from 1 species